rnacentral:rRNA from 1 species
GUCCACGCCCUAAACGAUGUCGACUAGUUGUUGGGGUUAUUAUGACCUCAGUAACGAAGCUAACGCAUGAAGUCGACCGCCUGGGGAGUACGGCCGCAAGGUUAAACUCAAAGGAAUUGACGGGGACCCGCACAAGCGGUGGAUGAUGUGGAUUAAUUCGAUGCAACGCGAAGAACCUUACCUACCCUUGACAUGUCACUAACGAACAGAGAUGUAUCAGGUGCCCGAAAGGGAAGUGAACACAGGUGCUGCAUGGCUGUCGU